AUGGCUGCAAGCCCUUAAGAAAAAGCAGUCUUAUCUGUUCAUAAAAUGCAGGAUAAUGACCAAUCCAUUGAUCAUCAUCUCCUUCUUACAGGAGGAAGAGUAAGGGGAAUGGGUGGAAGUACUCAACAUGCAUGGGGAGAGCUGGAAACGUCUGCCUCUGAGCUGUGUUGGAAACCUGAGAAGCCUCAGAUCUGUGGAUUUUUUCUUGG